UUAGGGGACUUGCCAUCGGCGUCCCCUGAUGCAGCGACGCCGCGGGAGGGAUGACGGCCUUCGGGUUGUAAACCUCUUUCAGCACGGAACGAAGCGAAAGUGACGCUACCUGCAGAAGAAGCACCCGCUAACCACGUGCCAGCAGCCGGCGGUAAUAAUC
rnacentral:rRNA from 1 species